rnacentral:lncRNA from 1 species
GUUGUACAACUUUCUCUCCACAGGUACAGGUCGCGGACAAGCUUGGGGCUGCAAGAGCAGAGAUGCUUUCCCCCAUUUUAAAAGGGGUUUCAAGAGCUCAACUUUGGUUUGAUGGUGUAUUAGGUAAUCUUCAGGCAGGUUUUCAAGACUUCGGUACAGCUGGCUUCCUGUGCAGCCACCCAAACCAGCAUCCGUGACGAGCCUGGCGACACUACCAAGUGGCAUAUUAAGGACAUUGAACAGGAUAUCCACAAAAUCUUUCUCAGCUUCGGCAAACAAGACCUUGUUAGCUCGUUUAUCAAUCAUUAACUUCAAUUUCACCUUCGUUGUUUCAGUAUUUGAUGUUGCUGUUGUUGCCAUUGCCGUGGUUGAUGUUUCUGAAGAAAAACAAAUAGGUAAUUAAUUAAAUAUCACUUCUAUAUACGUGGAUUACUUACUCUCCUUAGGAUGCGGAAGUGCUUCCUAAUUAAAGUCACUUUCCAAAGGUAAAACAAAGUGGGAGUUUUCACCCACCAGCAGUGGAGCUCCGAAAGAUGGAUAUAUAACGUGGGCACUGGGCAGCAAACUUGUAAUUAUUUUGUACCGUAAAGCUGUUGAGAUAUAAUUAGUAAUCUAGUAAAUUGAGCAAGAAGUUUGAAGGGUUAUUUUGGAAAAGCUCUGAUACCAAAUUUGUUGGGUGCAAGCGGAAGUGCAGAAAAUUUUUUUUAUUUAAGAACAGAGUAUUUUGCUGGAAAUUACUGAAACUUUACGCUUAAUUCAUUUUUUCGUUUCUCUCUUGCUUUUCAUACAACCAGAGUUCUAUAUUUAUAUGCAUUAUAGACAACUCUAGAGAUUACAUUAAUCAUGCUUUACAUUUCCAAAGCCACAUUGCAAACAUCAAUUCUACCCUCUUCACGUUGAAAAACAAACCAAAAAACCCUUCAAACUUCUUGCUCAAUUUACUAGAUUACUAAUUAUAUCUCAGCACCCCCUCUACUUGAGCAAGAAGUUUGAAAUAUCUCCUGUUAUUGAGAGAGAGAGUCCUUGUAGGACCACAAAUAUCAGCAUGCACCAACUCCAACGGAGCUUUGGCUCUCCAUGAAUUUUUAGGAAAUGGAAGUCUAUGCAUUUUUCCAUAUAUACAGUCCUCGCAAACUUUUUCAUAUCUUCCAACAUCAGGUAAGCCAAUCACCAUGUUCUUUUGCGUGAGAUAUAAUUAGUAAUCUAGUAAAUUGAGCAAGAAGUUUGAAGUGAAAGGUGAAGAAAUGUUGAAAUAAAACAAGUAAUCUCCAUCACCUUCUUUUGUAAAAUUUACUAGAUUACUAAUUAUAUCUCAACAAAAGCAUCCCAUUUAGCUUUUGGGAGGCUUUCCGUGCGGGCAGUACUGUUUUACAAAAUCAUUGAAAUGCUUUUAAUCGAAACGUGAUAUGCAAAUCUUUACCUUAACAACGUAUGAAAGCUAAUAAGAACGCGGCUGCUAUGGCAUUCUUUUUAUUAUUACUUUUGUGACUUGCCUAUUGUGCUGGCUGCCGGUGAUUUGUCUUGCUUUCCUUCUUUGUUUCAGUUUAUUUUAUUCUUUGCCAUUGCUUCCUUUGUCCUCGCUUUUGUCGAUCGAUUUCUGUCUUUUACUUUGAUUGAUGUUGGUGACUCUUGCUUUUUUUGCUUUUGUUCUGCGUCAGCUUGCUUAUCGAAAAAGAACACCAAGAAUUCAUGAACCAGCUUAUUUCUAAAACAAAGCUUCUUUUGCAAGUCACCUUGUUUUAACGGAACUCAGUUUUAAUUCAUUCACUGAAUAUCAAAAUCGUGUUUAUUUUAAUUUCCCCAACCCUGCCUCCAUUCUUCCAAUUUAUUCCGUGGAACAGCCUAAUAAUUGGACCAUCAUACAUACUGUCCUUCUACAUUGAGUCAUUGACGUGUGACUACCAGGUUCUUUUCCCGAUUUUGUUUCAUUGUUUGUACAUGAAGUUUGUUAGGGGAGUUUGAAUUAAAUCUUGGUAAUGGAACAUUAUCCAACCAAAACAGAUUUUCUCGUGAUCUAAACUUUUAAGUUUUAAAUAUAAAAUUACGUAUAAUUAACAAAUCGUGAAUGGUAGCACAACUAUUAACUAUUGUAAAUUAAUAUCACAAGAGUCUAAAUUUGCAGUCAUAAUUGUGCGUUUUCAAGUGUACCUUCAUUUUUUGCUAAAACACCAAGAAGUAUGUGAUACUAAAUUAUUUUUACUUAUUAGAUUUACCAAAAGAACAAUUAAAAAACAAUAAAGAGCACGCUUGAAAUAAUUGCAAUCCAACUCAAAAGUAGUUCAAAAUAUUGUAAUGAUAGAGCAUUAAAAUGAUAUAGCAGGAAGAUGACCCAAAAAAAUUAUUAUUAAAUAAUAAUUUUUUUAAAUAAAAAGGCAAAUUAGUAUAUGAUCUAAUUAAAUAUUGUCUGCCAAUUCCGGAGGAAUGAGUCAAGUUGCCAUGGAUUCUGAUUUUUCAAAUUAGUUGCGAAAAUUCAUUUUAAUUUAUUGCUGAGCCAAAAUUCGUUUUAAUUUAUUGCUGAAUUAUCACUGAUUUUCCUAAAUCUUUAAAGAAAGAAAUCUUUAACUUUCUUUUCUUUUUUUUUCUUCGCGAGCCUUUUUUCUCAGUCAGUUUCAAAAAGGGAGAGCCUUAAGUCUUAAGCAUCCUUUAGACCUGGACACCAAGAAGAAGAAAAAAGAAAAAAGAAAUUUAUCACCUCAGGGUUCAAUGAUCCAAUUACAUUACCGAAAGUAUGACUUGUCGCUCGAAUAAAAUCUUUCUAGAUGCACAGUUAAAAUUAACCUGUCAUGAAAGUAAUUUAGAAACAACACGAGUUCAUUCAACACAAGCUUUCUCCUAAAAACACACCCACAUCCUAAAUAUUCAAUUUGUUGAGCAGUUGAGCAAAGUAAUAGAAGACAUAGUAUACAUAAGACAUAGGCAUCAUUUCCGAAUUAUCCAGCAGCAUGUACAUAACCACAUCUUUAACAAAAACUCAAGCAGCAGCUUGAGGACUUUGGAAAGCCUUCAGGGACAUUGCUAAGCUGCAAAAUACAGUAAUAUUAAUUAAGCUGGUCACCAGACUCUGUUUACUCCCAAUAAAAAUAUUUGGUAUAGUUUAAUUUACGGGGUAGUUUUGAGUUCCCCAUGCAAAUUCUCAACAUUAAAUAUUUUUAAUGAAAUGUAAGUUCCUAAGACCAGAACUGAUUAUCAACAUACCUCAUCCAGGCCAAAAUUGACAACUUUCUCCUCAAGCGAACCCAACUCUCUAAUAGUAAACUUGUUGAGGAAAGUGAUAGAAGAAAUAGUAGAGAUGGGCGUCACCUCUAAAUUAUCCAUCACCAUGCAAGUGACCACCUCUUUAACAAACCCUCUCUCAGUAGCCACCGCAGCCGCAGUGCUUGUACCCGCCACCUGAGAAACAAAAGUUAUCUCACUAGUCAUGGUCUGCAGAGGCGAAGCUAAUGGUAGGCUAACGCAGGCUACAGCCCGGGUAAGCUUUUUGAAAAAAAAAAGAAUUAAUUAUAAUUUAUAAAUUUACUUUUAUUAAUAUUUAUAAAAAUAUAAAAACAAAUCUAAUAAUUAUAGGAUUCUUUAUUUUCCCCGCAUCACAAUUCAUAAAACUCGCCAAGUAUCCAACUGAAUCUGAUUAAAUUCACCAAAAUUCAAUUGCUCGAGUCUCGUACCGCUGCUGAAUGCCCAAUCUCCUGUGCUCGAAUUGAAGCCCACCCGCUACCUCAUGAGUGAUGCCGAGCCGCUGUCGCAAGGCCUGCAUUCGUAGGCUGAAUCUCUCGCCGCACCUGAAGUCCCAACCUGUAAUGCCCAGUCUCUUGAUACAGCGCCUGGUACAAAUCACUUUGCCUUUUAAAAUUUAAUUUACAUAAUAGAAUAUGAUUUAUGAUAAUGAUGGCAUAUUGUCAUACGAAGUGGAAUUGUGGAAGUUGUUGAUUCUAUAAUUCAUCUUUUUAAAAUUAUAAAAUAAUAAAAUGUGAUAAUAGACUACUAGAAUAUUAGAAUAUGACAAAUGGUAAUGAUAGCAUAUAAAGUGGAAGCUGUUGAUUCAUCUUUUUAGAAUUAUAAAAUAAUGAUGGCAUAUAAAGAAUGAGUAAAUAAAAUAGUAAAACAAUUAAUUUUGAAUGCUGACUUUUUUUAAUAGCUUUUAACUUGCGAUUUUAUCAAAUUUUUUAUAAAAUAAAUAAUAAUUUUCUAUUGUAUUAUAUUAUAUAUUCAAUGUUAAACAAAGCAAGAAAAACUCUACUUUCUUUUCGUAGGUGAAAAUCAAUCAUCCACCAAGUCUUUAUGUCAACUUAAUGCUCAAUAUUCCAGUGAGCAACAUACUUCUAAGUUUCAAAGGGUUGAAGUUGAAGAAACUAGAAAUACUUAUCUGGAGCGUGAUCCUGGAUUACGUCAUCAAAUAGGGACAUAUUCAGUAAAUCAAUAUGAUGAUAUUCGAAGGAAGUACAUCAAAAUGGGACCUUAUCCACCUAAACUAUGAGAUUAUCCACUAACUAAUAAUGGCAUGCAAGAACGUAGGUUUCAGUAUCACUAGUUUAAAAAAUUUCCAUGGCUUGAGUAUUCUGAGGUAAAAGAUAGUGCAUUUUGUUUUCCAUGCUUUCUUUUUUAUGAAAUUCCAUCGAGCAACCCAAAAUUCGUUAUUGAAUGGUUUUCUAGUUGGAAGAGAGUCAACAAUGAAAAAAAAUUUCCCUUUUUACAGCAUGAAGGGGGUCUGUCUUCUCAUCAUAAUGAGAAUAUGCAGAGUUGGGUUUGUUUGAGGAACCUAAUUCAAUACAUUGAUAGACUAAUUAAUGCCCAAACUUCACAACAAGUUUUGGAGAAUAAGCUACGAUUGAAGACCUCAAUUAUUGCUAUUAAAUGAUUAGCAAAGCAAGCAUGUGCUUUUAGAAUUCAUAAUGAAUCAGUUAAUUCAAAAAAUCAGGGAAAUUUCAUAGAGUUGAUAAAGCAUUCAGCGGAGUGUAGUAAAGAAAUUGCUCAAGUUGUCUUGGAAAAUGCUCCAUCAUAAGCUAAGUAUACAUUGUCUAACAUUCAAAAAGAGCUUUUAAAUAUUCUUGCAAAGAAAGUGCGAAACAAGAUACGCAAGGAACUUGGAGAUGGUAAGUUUUGUAUUUUAGUAGACAAAGUACUUGAUGAAUCUGAUAAAGAGUAAAUGACUAUUAUUUUAAGGUAUGUUGAUUGUGAUGGGUAUAUUCGAGAACGCUUUUUUGAAGUUGUCAAUGUCAUGGAAACUACAGCGGUAACAUUAAAAAAAGAAAUAUGUAAUGUUCUUGCACGAUAUGAUCUUUUAGUUGAAGAUAUCUGAGGGUAAGGAUAUGAUAGUGCUAGUAACAUGCGGGGUGCAUGGAAUGGAUUACAAGCAUUAUUUUUGAAAGACUGCCCAUAUGCAUAUUAUAUACACUGUUUUGCACAUCAACUGCAACUUGCUUUAGUUGCAGCAUCUAAUGAUGUGCCAGAUGUAUGGCUUUUCUUUUCAACAUUGGGUUCAAUUGUAAAUGUUCUGACUUCAUCUGCUAAACAACUUUCUGAGUUAAAAUCUGUUUGGGAAGCAGAAAUAAUAGAUUUGAUAACUUCAGGAGAAGUUCAAACUGGUAAAGGGGCCAAUCAAAUUCAUACUUUGCAACGACCUGGAGCUACUCGCUGGAGCUCUCAUUUCCAUUCUAUCAGCAGGUCGCUUGAUCUAUUUAGUGUUGUUCGUAAAGUUCUUGGGAAGUUGGUAGAGUGUGGGCCUAAUAAUAGCAUACGUGGAGAGGCUAAAGUUGUGUGCGAAUCAAUGACAUUUUUUAAAUUUGUGUUCAUUUUGCAUUUAUUAAAUAAAGUUUUGGGGAUUAGUGAUUUACUUUGUCAAACAUUACAAGUGAAAUCUCAAGAUAUUCUAAAUGUUGUGCACUUAGUCUCAACUACGAAAAAACUUCUUCAAAGGUUACGAGACAAUGGUUGGGAAACUUUUAUUAAGAAUGUAGUUCUAUUUUGUGAAAAGAAUGAGAUAGAUAUGCCUUAUAUGAAAGCUCGCCAUAUGAAAGGCAGAGGACGUUCUUGUCAGCAGAAUGAUUAUAUUACAGUUGAGCAUUAUUAUCAUUAUGAUAUAUUUAAUGUUGUGAUAGAUUUUCAAUUGAUAAAGUUGAAUAAUAAAUUCACUAAAUAGACUUUGGAACUCUUCACUCUUAGUUCACCUUUAAAUCCUAUUGAUGCAUUUAAAUCAUUUAAAAUUGAAGAUAUUUGCAGUCUUGCUGAAAGAUUUUAUCCUCAAGAUUUCACUAAAAUUGAGCUACAUGCUUUGAGAAGACAAUUAUAAUGCUUUGAGAUUGAUAUACACUCUCUUCAAGAGUUUCAGAAUAUUACUUCCCUUUUUGAAUUGUGUCGAAGAUUAAUUGAGACUAGCAAGUCAUAGAUUUAUUUCUUAUUGGAUAGAUUAAUUCGUUUAGUGUUAACCCUUCCUGUUUCAACAGCAACAACAGAGAGAGCAUUUUCUGCCAUGAAACUAAUUAAAACAACACAUCGAAACAAGAUGGAGAAUGAGUUUCUUUCAUAUUGUAUGGUUAUUUACAUCGAAAGAGAAAUUGCAGACAAUAUCGACUCAGAUGCGAUAAUAGAUAAAUUUUCGUUUUUGAAGAACCGCAGAACACAGCUUCGUCGAUAGUGUUUUUCUACAUUGUAUUUUUAUAGUUUUAUGGUUAGAUUUUUGCUUAUGUAGUGUGUUUAAUUUCAUUUGUAUAACACAAUUUUUUUUAGAAGUAAAUUUCAUUUUUUUUAAAUAUGGCCCACCCAAAAAAAUAAUGCUAGCUUCGCCACUGAUGGUCUGCAGGCAAAUAGGACAGGAACUGAACGAAUUAUCAUCAAACUGUAACUUAGGAAAGAAGCCAUAUGUAAUUUCCCCAAUUCUGACUCCAUUAGUUCCAACAAUGUAUAACUUGACCAUCGGUGAUUCAUUUUCGAAGUUGUAGAGAGUGCUGUUUACAAGUUAUAUUUGUUCCAUGAUAUCGAACACAAGUUAACAAUUUGGUCUGUCUAAUGAUAAUUAUUUGUAUGUUUUUAAGGCCUAAUUUACAAGCUGACAAGACUAAUCACCAUGGAUGAAGAAGAUUUUUUCCGAUCGCCAAUGCUGGCUUCCCUGCGGGCGUUCUAGUAAUUUACGAUAUUUAAGAAUAGUGGAAACGAGCAAAAAUUGGAAAUGUACAUGUUCAUUAAUUAAAGUAUGAGUUAAUAACUGAAAAAUGAUUGUGUUACGCUCAAUUUACCCCAUCAUCCUCCUAAAAAAAAUAGGGAAAAAAAAAACCAACAACCAAGUUUAAGCAAAUAUAUGAACAUCAUUAAUUCAUCACAUACUUUGGUAACGUCAAGAACAACGCACAAACAAGAAAUACAUGUAUAUAUAUACAUACUAGGUUUAUUAUGAAUAAACCAAACGGAUAUAUAAUGACAACGUAUAGCUAUCAUGACACCACAGUUAUUUUUAUGAGUCAUAUCAUUUUCAACCCAUAAACUUUUUCUUCAUAAGGAAGGAAGACGGUAGUGAGAGCUUCAUUUGUUUGCAUUGAAGCAUUCAACAGCUCCAGAACCUGAGAUGUAUAAAAACCAUGCUCAACUUAGCCCAAAAUAUAUACAUUAGUACCCAGCUUAUGCUUUCAAAUUGAAAAGUUGAGACAAUGAAGUCAAAAUUCAAUCGAGUAAAAGAUGCCAGAGAAGAACUCCUUACCUCAUCAGGGCCAAUAUCGACAAGUCUCUCCUCCAGGGCACCAAUAUCCUUAAUUUUGCCCUGCAGCAGGCCAGUGGCAGAUAUCACUGACGCCGGUGUCACUGAUAAAUCAUCAGUUACCAUGUAAGCAAAAGCUUUCUUCACAACUCCGCCAUCAGUAUCCGAAACAAUAUCCAACUGCUGCACUUCAUAAUUCAUUGUAUUCAUUGCACGGUUAACAGAACCAAAAGCACUACGUUGGGUACACUGGGGACACCUGGUGUUUUCUUCAUUUGUCACACACGGGUGAUGGUUUCCACAAAUGUACAACUUUCUCUUCCCAGGUACAGGUCCCGGACAAGCUUGGGGCUGCAAGAGCAGAGAUGCUUUCCCCCAUUUUGAAAGGGGUUUCAAGAGCUCAGCUUUGGUUUGGUCGUGUAUUAGGUGCUCAUCAGUGAGGUUUCCAAGACUCUGGUUUAGGUUUCCUAUGCAGCCGCCAAAACCAGCAUCCGUGACGAGCCUUGCGACACUACCAAGUGGCAUAUAAAGGACAUUGAACAGGACAUCCACAAAAUCUUUCUCAGCUUCGGCAAACAAGACCUUGUUAGCUCGUUUAUCAAUCAUUAACUUCAAUUUCACCUUCGUUGUUUCAGUAUUUGAUGUUGCUGUUGUUGCCAUUGCCGUGGUUGAGGUUUCUGAAGAAAAACAAAUAGAUAAUUAAUAAAAUAUCACUUGCAUAUUAUACGUGGAUUGCUUACUCUCGUUAGGAUGCGGAAGUGCUUCCUAAUUAAAGUCACUUUCCAAAGGUAAAACAAAGUGGGAGUUUUCAGCCACCAGCAGUGGAGCUCCGAAAGAUGGAUAUAUGACGUGGGCACUGGGCAGCAAACUUGUAAUUAUUUUGUACCGUAAAGCAUCCCAUUUAGCUUUUGGGAGGCUUUCCGUGCGGGCAGUACUGUUUUACAAAAUCAUUGAAAUGCUUUUAACCAAAGCGUGAUGUGCAAAUCUUUACCUUAGCAACGUAAGAAAGCUAAUAAGAACGCGACUGUUAUGGCAUUCUUUUUAUUAUUACUUUUGUGACUUACCUAUUGUGCUGGCUGCCGGUGAUUUGUCUUGCUUUUCUUCUUUGUUUCACUUUAUUUUAUUCGUUACCAUUGCUUCCUUUGUCUUGCUUUUGUCGAUCGAUUUCUGUCUUUUACUUUGAUUGAUGUUGGUGACUCUUGCUUUUUUUGCUUUUGUUCUGGGUCAGCUUGCUUAUCGAAAAAGAACACCAAGAAUUCAUGAACCAGCUUAUUUCUAAAACAAAGCUUCUUUUGCAAGUCACCUUGUUUUAACGGAACUCAGUUUUAAUUCAUUCACUGAAUAUCAAAAUCGUGUUUAUUUUAAUUUCCCCAACCCUGCCUCCAUUUUUCCAAUUUAUUCCGCGGAACAACCUAAUAAUUGGACCAUUAUACAUUCUGUUCUUCAACACUGAUGUGUGACUGCCAGCUGCUUUUCCCGAUUUUGUUUCAUUGUUUGUAUAUUAUGUUUGUUAGCGGAGUUUGAAUUAAAUCUUGGUAAUGGGAGUAUUAUUCAACCAAAACAGAUUUUCUCAUGAUCUGAACUUUUAAAUUUUAAAUAUAAAAUUAUGUUUAAUUAACAAAUCGUGAAUGGUAGCACAACUAUUAACCAUUGUAAAUUAAUAUCAAAGACUCUAAAUUUGUAAUCAUAAUUUUGCGUUUUCAAGUGUACCUUCAUUUUUUGCUAAAACACCAAGAAGUGUGAUACUAAAUUAUUUUUACUUAUUAGAUUUACCAAAAGAACAAUUAAAAAAAAAUAAAGAGCACGCUUGAAAUAAUUGCAAUCCAACUCAAAAGUAGUUCAAAAUAUUGUAAUGAUAGAGCAUUAAAAUGAUAUAGCAGGAAGAUGACCCAAAAAAAUUAUCAUUAAAUAAUAAUUUUUUUAAAUAAAAAGGCAAAUUAGUAUAUGAUCUAAUUAAAUAUUGUCUGCCAAUUCCGGAGGAAUGAGUCAAGUUGCCAUGGAUUCUGAUUUUUCAAAUUAGUUGCGAAAAUUCAUUUUAAUUUAUUGCUGAGCCAAAAUUCAUUUUAAUUUAUUGCUGAAUUAUCACUGAUUUUACUAAAUCUUUAAAGAAAGAAAUCUUUAACUUUCUUUUCUUUCUUUUUUUCUUCGCGAGCGUUUUUUCUCAGUCAGUUUCAAAAAGGGAGAGCCUUAAGCCUUAAGCGUACUUUAGACCUGGACACCAAAACGAAGAAAAAAGAAAUUUAUCACCUAAAGGUUCAACUAUCCAAUUAAUUUACCGAAAGUAUGACUUGUCGCUCGAAUAAAAUAUUUGUAGAUGCACAGAUAAAAUUAACCAUCAUGAAAGUAAUUUGGAAACAACACCAGUUUUACACAAGCUUUCUCCUAAAAACACAACCACAUCCUAAAUAUUCAAUUUGUUGAGCAUUUGAGCAAAGUAAUAUAGAAGACAUAGUGUUGAUGCCGAAAUCCAAACCAGUUGGUUAGUGACUCAAUUUCGGAUCCCUGCAUCAGCAUUAAAUUUGUUUGGUGGGAAGCUGCUGGUUGAUCUCUAAGAAUAUUCUCUGACUAUGAGCAGAACAUUCAUGAGCAUAUAAUCUUCAAGCUGACGAUCAAUAAGUACCUGAAAUUACAGAGAAUGGUUAGAGGUGCCGGAAGUUUUUCCGGCGUAAACCCUCCGACGCUCAAGUCAGUUAUGGGGUUUACAGGAAAAACCAAAUAUGCCAUCUCCCAUAUGGCUUAAUAAACAUUGCCUUAAAACCAAAAGCUUUUAGGAUAAUUUGCAGAAAAGUAAAGUAGAGUAUCCAAAAAGGAUUUCUCAGUGAGAUCAAGAGCAAAAGAGCCCCCCACCCCCCUUUUUUGGCGUGGUUUUCUCGGGGUUUUUAUAAACACCCCACACCCACGACCUUAGAUCGUGACAAUAACCAUUAAUUGAUCAAAUUCGUGCUCUGAUUUUUCGGAGGAGCUUUGUGGUGGUUUAUUUUAAGGGUUAACUUAAUUGUUAACUUGGAAUUACGUAGAGUCAUAUAUCAUAGUUUAUAAUAAUAUUAAUACAUAUUUAUAAAAUCAUUAUUUUUAUAAUUUUAUUUAUUAAAAUCAUGAUAUCAAUUAUUUAUUUAAUAAAUUAUAAACAUAAAUCAAUUAUAAUUUUUUUGAAACUAAGAAUUAAAUAAAUUUAAAAAACUUGAGCCAAUAAAAGAUAUUAAAAGAUUCAAUUUCAAGUUAUUUAUAAAAUAAUAAAAUUUUAAGUUUACUUUCAUUAAAAAAUGAAACGUGCUUAUUGCGUGCUUUUUCGCGUGCCGUGCUUUGACCCAUCUCUAAUCGUGCCGUGCUUUUAAGGCCCGCGUGCCUAAAAUCUAAGCCCGGCGUGGCCCACGUACGUGCCGUGCCGUGCCACGUGCUCUACCGAGACGUGCUCGUGCCGUGCUGUACGGACACGUGUCGUGCCCGUGCCGUGCCUCGUGUCGUCCGGCCCAUUGGCCACCUUUAGUUAGCACUGAGGGUGUUUAGGUCUUUUCUCGAAUCAAGGGUAUUUUUGACAUAUCACUGGUCAACUCACGGUCAAGGAAACUGAGUACAUACGAUAGGGGAGGUCUCUGUAAUUACGGAUAUACUUUCUAUCUAAAUGUCAAUGCGUCAAACUUCAGGGGAAGUCCCUAAAAAUUACCCAUGCAUGGACGCUUGCAAAGAGAACUAUAUAAAACUUACGUGUAUAUACAUGUGUAUAUAUACAUAUACUCUAUAUGUCAGAACUCUGUAUGAAUCUAACUUAUAUAUGAAUCUACAAUUCUGAUGGGAUUUUUGAAUUCCCAACAACCUUCUUCCUUGCCAUAUACUUUCAAUUACACCACAUUUCGCCUUUUAUAUUUGAGAAAUAGUGGAUCACAUAUCAUUAAAUGGUCAAAAAGUAAUUUCCUCAUCCAAGCGAAGAGAUCUCAUCUGUAUUGGUUCAAUUGAUUGUCUAGAUUGAAUAAUAAUUUGAUCCUAGAUGUAAAUUUGAUCAUAUUAACGAAUUAAAUGUCUAUAUAAUUAUUCUAGCUAUGAAUUUCUUUGUCAAAACCUUUUAGAAUUCUCCGUGUUUUACAAUUUUAAUGUCAUUCAUGAUCAUCGCUGGAUAUCAAAGUCCUGUUUUCAUCAUCAUAUUAAUUUGAUGUUAUAGAGAAACAAAUAAAACAAAAUCAAAUACUAAAAAGGGUUCUUGCUUUCCUAAAACUGUAACUUAGAAAAGAAGCCAUACAUAAUUUCCCCAGUACUGACUCCAUUAGCUCCAAUAACAUAUAACUUGACCACCGGUGGUUCAUUUUCGAAGUUGUAGAGAGUGCUAUUUACAAAUUAUAAUUGCUCCAUGAUAUGGAACACUGUUAACAAUUUGGUCUGUCUAAUGAUAAUUAUUAGAAUGUUUUUAAAGCCUAAUCACCAUGGAUAAGGAAGAUUUUUGCCGAUUGCCAAUAUUGUUGGCUUCCUUCUGGGCGUUCUAGUAAUUUACGAUAUUUAAGAAUAAUGUGCUGAGUGUCUGGUGAAGCAAAUCAGAAUUGACCAAUACGACAUGGGAUUAUUGCGUUUUGGGGAUGGCUUUGUAUAAGUGAAACGACGUGGAAAGCAGCGUUUCGAUGGGUUUUAUUAUUACUGUCUUAAACGACUUCUCGAAAUGCCGUUUUAACUUUAAUAAGUCACAAGCCUUACACGUGCUCAAGCCGAGUCGUUAAAGGUUGUUAUUUCACGUGCAUAUCGCGUGAGCUUCUUUCUGGGCUUCGUGAAAUCAGUUGCAGAGCUGUUAAAACAGCUGGUUCUAGUGUAAAAAACAGGAGAGGGCUGUGAGCUAUAUAGAGAGAAGUUGGGAUCAUUUCGAGAGACUUCUUGAUCUAUGUAAUGUGCUCUGUAAAGCUCUGUAGUUCUUCUUGAUAAUCAAUCAAAGCUGAUCAUGUUGUUUCUCCAUGGAUGUAGGCUGAUGCAAAUCAGCCGAACCACGUUAAUUCGUUUUUGUUCUUGUUUCUUUCUCUACUCAAUUUAGAUUUUCAUCUGUGCAUCCGGUUGAUUAGACUUAAUCCUGAUCAAAUUUCGUGAGCAUCUUGUUUGGUUUGAUCUAAAGAUCUUGGGCUACAAUUUGGCGUUGAUUGAUCUCUUCAUAACACAAAUUGCAACAUAAUGGAAAGGAGGAAAAAUUAGAAAUCCACAUGUUCAUUGAUUAAAGUAUGAAUUAAGAACUGGAAAAUGAUCGUGUUACGCUCAAUUGUCCCCUCAUCUUCUCAGAAAGUGAAAAAAAAAAAAAAAAAAACAAAACAAAGUCUAAGCAUAAUAUAUUAACAUCAUUAAUUCAUCACAUACUUUUGUAACGUCAAGAACAAUGCACAAACAAGAAAUAAAUACCAGGUUUAUUAUUAUAAAUAAACCAAACGGAUAUAUAAUGACAACUUGUAGCUAUCAUGACACCACAGCUCUUUUAUGAGUCAUAUCAUUUUCAACCCAAAAACUUAUUCUUUUUUAGGAAGGAAGACGCUAGUGAGAGCUUCAUUUGUUUGCAUUGAAGCAUUCAACAGCUCCACAACCUGAGAUGUACAAAAACCAUGCUCAAUUUAGCCCAAAAUAUAUACGUUAGUACGUAGCUUAUGCUUUCAAAUUGAAAAUUUGAGGUAAUGAAGUCAAAAUUCAAUCGAGUAAGAGAUGCCAGAGAAGAAUUCCUUACCUCAUCAGGGCCAACAUCGACAACUCUCUCCUCCAGGGCACCAAUAUCCUCAAUUUUGCCCUGCAGCAGGCCAGUGGCAGAUAUCAUUGACGCUGGUGUUAUUGAUAAAUCAUUAGUUAUUAUGCAAGCAAAAGAUUUCUUCACAACUCCGCCCUCAAUAUCCGAAACAAUCUUCCACUGCUGCACUUCAUGUCGCAUUUUGUCAGAAUCAUCAUAACGAGCACCACAAUGGAGACACCUAGCAUUUACUUCAUUUGUCACACAGCGGUGAUUGUUUCCACAGUUGUACAACUUUCUCUCCACAGGUACAGGUCGCGGACAAGCUUGGGGCAGCAAGAGCAGAGAUGCUUUCCCCCAUUUUGAAAGGGGUUUCAAGAGCUCAACUUUGGUUUGAUGGUGUAUUAGGUAAUCUUCAGGCAGGUUUUCAAGACUUCGGUACAGCUGGCCUCCUGUGCAGCCACCCAAACCAGCAUCCUUGAAGAGCCUGGCGACACUACCAAGUGGCAUAUAAAGGACAUUGAACAGGAU